rnacentral:tmRNA from 1 species
GGGGCUGACAGGGAUCGACUGGUGUUAUUCGGUACUAAAGUGCAGCAGAGAUUGAGUAUGUCUCGUAUAAAAAGACUCACAAACCCAAAAUGGCGAUAACUCGCUUGAAGGGUUGGUAAUUGAUUGGCAUUUGGCUGAGUCCGAUAUGUCAGUUGGUGUUGAACCAGUAAUGGUCAACGAUUAUCAACCAACUUACGCUUACGCAUAAGUUACUGAGUUGUCUAACACUCGGUCAUAAAAUAAGUUAGACGAACAACUCGCGUGGUAGAGUAUAAGAGUCACCAGUUGACAAUCUGAACAAAUGUCCGAAUGGUUUGUUAGUAUCCUAUCGUGAUUGGAAACUAAACUAAGCUGUAAAUGACUUUGUAUAGGAAACAGACAGGACCGGCGUUCGAAUCGCCGCAGCUCCACAA